GACGAACGCUGGCGGCGUGCCUAAUACAUGCAAGUAGAACGCUGAAGAGAGGAGCUUGCUCUUCUUGGAUGAGUUGCGAACGGGUGAGUAACGCGUAGGUAACCUGCCUUUUAGCGGGGGAUAACUAUUGGAAACGAUAGCUAAUACCGCAUAACAAUGUAUGACACAUGUCAUUUAUUUGAAAGGGGCAAUUGCUCCACUACAUGGUGGACCUUCGUCGUAUUAGCUAGUAGGUGAGGUAAUGGCUCACCUAGGCGACGAUACAUAGCCGACCUUGGAAGGUGAUCCGGCAACCUGGGAAUGGGACACGGCCCAGAAUCCUAACGGAGGGAGCAGUAGGGAAUCUUCGGCAAUGGGGGGAACGCUGACCGGGCAAAGCCGCGUGAGGGAAGAAGGGUUUCGGAUCGUAAAGUUCUGUUGUAAGUCAAGAACGGGUGUGGGAGGGGAAAGUUCACACUGUGACGGUAGCUAAUCAGAAAGGGACGGCUAACUACGUG
rnacentral:rRNA from 1 species